rnacentral:rRNA from 1 species
ACGCUGGCGGCACGCCUAACACAUGCAAGUCGAACGAAGUAGCAAUACUUAGUGGCAGACGGGUGAGUAACAUGUAGGUAUCUGCCCUUUGGCCUGGAAUAACACGAGGAAACUUGUGCUAAUACCGGAUAAGUCUUUACGGAGAAAGCUUUAUGCACCAUUGGAUGAGCCUGCACUUGAUUAGUUUGUUGGUGGGGUAAUGGCCUACCAAGACUUUGAUCAAUAGCUGAUUUGAGAGGAUGAUCAGCCACAUUGGGACUGAGACACGGCCCAAACUCCUACGGGAAGCAGCAGUGGGGAAUCUUGCACAAUGGAGGAAACUCUGAUGCAGCGAUGCCGCGUGAGUGAAGAAGGCCCUUGGGUUGUAAAGCUCUUUCGUCGGGGAAGAAAAUGACUGUACCCGAAUAAGAAGGUCCGGCUAACUUCGUGCCAGCAGCCGCGGUAAUACGAAGGGACCUAGCGUAGUUCGGAAUUACUGGGCUUAAAGAGUUCGUAGGUGGUUGAAAAAGUUGGUGGUGAAAUCCCAGAGCUUAACUCUGGAACUGCCAUCAAAACUUUUCAGCUAGAGUAUGAUAGAGGAAAGCAGAAUUUCUAGUGUAGAGGUGAAAUUCGUAGAUAUUAGAAAGAAUACCAAUUGCGAAGGCAGCUUUCUGGAUCAUUACUGACACUGAGGAACGAAAACAUGGGUAGCGAAGAGGAUUAGAUACCCUCGUAGUCCAUGCCGUAAACGAUGUGUGUUAGACGUUGGAAAUUUAUUUUCAGUGUCGCAGCGAAAGCGAUAAACACACCGCCUGGGGAGUACGACCGCAAGGUUAAAACUCAAAUGAAUUGACGGGGACCCGCACAAGUAGUGGAGCAUGUGGUUUAAUUCGAAGAUACGCGCAGAACCUUACCAACACUUGACAUGUUCGUCGCGACUCUAAGAGAUUAGAGUUUUCGGUUCGGCCGGACGAAACACAGGUGCUGCAUGGCUGUCGUCAGCUCGUGUCGUGAGAUGUUGGGUUAAGUCCCGCAACGAGCGCAACCCUCACUUUUAGUUGCCAUCAUUUAGUUGGGCACUCUGAAAGAACUGCCAGUGAUAAGCUGGAGGAAGGUGGGGAUGACGUCAAGUCCUCAUGGCCCUUACGUGUUGGGCUACACACGUGCUACAAUGGUAUCUACAACAGGAAGCAAGACGGCGACGUUAAGCAAAUCCUUAAAAGAUACCUCAGUUCGGAUUGCACUCUGCAACUCGAGUGCAUGAAGCUGGAAUUACUAGUAAUCGUGGAUCAGCGUGCCACGGUGAAUGCGUUCCCGGGUCUUGUACACACCGCCCGUCACACCAUGGGAGUUGGUUCUACCUUAAGGCAAGGUUUAAAACCCUUGACCACGGUAUAGUCAGCGACUGGGGUGAAGUCGUAACAAGGUAGCCGUAGGGGAACCUGCGGCUGGAUUACCUCCUUUCU